GAAAUUAUUUUUUUCAAAAAAUUCAAAAUUACGUUGCCCCAUAGGGUUUAUAAAAAGAGGAAAACUGGGAAAGAGAAGAGUUUUCCCUCCACAAUCCUGCCUUUUCACGGAGCUCGAUAAUGGCCGAUUUCUCAGCUUGCCCUAUCUGUAAUCUCAGAGUUCUCACCUCUGAACUCGAAAGGCACGCUAACAGUCACUUCGACGAUGAAGACAUUGACAAAGACUUCGAAUUGGCUCAACAAAUUGCCCUUGACCUUGCCUGUACCCCUUCAAGUCCACCUUAUAUCCCGGUUGAUGAUGACAUGCAGUGUGAAACUAGUUCUCGAAAGGAUCGCGAGUGUAGUAUUUUGAAGUAUGAGGCCAAAAAUUGCAAUCAUGGAGGGAAAGAUAUUGAUGAAAAAGCAAGGAUUUUAUCUAGUGUGUACCUUAAUGAAACCCGACCUCAGAUUGGACAAGGGUUAAUGGAUUUGUUGAAGAACUGUUUAGAGUUGGAGACUGAAAAGACCACCACUAUUUUGUGUGUUAAUGUUGAUCAUUUCCAAAGCAGCCAUUCGGAGGAUUUUGGGUGGGGUUGUGGCUGGCGUAAUAUCCAGAUGCUUAGUUCUCACUUGCUUAAGCAACGACAAGAAGCAAGGGAGGUCUUGUAUGGAGGUUCUGGGUUUGUACCUGACAUCCCUUCACUCCAAAGAUGGCUUGAAAUUGCUUGGAAAAGAGGCUUUGAUAAACAGGGAUCAGAAGACUUUGAUCGAGCAAUUUAUGGCAAAAGAAAUUGGAUCGGAACUACAGAAUGUGCUACGCUCUUCCGUUCAUUUGGCCUUCGUGCCAGGAUAGUGGACUUUGUAAGCCGGGAGAUAGACAUUAGGUCAAGUGGAGUUGGUAAAUGUGUGGGCAACAUGACACCACAAGUUUAUGGACCAAUGGAUGGAUAUCUGUCCAAAGGGAAAAAUUCUGUAUCCAAGGCUGUUCCGAUUUCGUAUGAUGUAAAGGCUAAGCCUAAGGUCCAGCAGGCACUCAUUGAUUGGGUGUGGAAUUACUUUUCUGACAAUAAAUCCAGGAAAUACGGCAAUCAUGGUAUCCUAGUCAGUCAAAAAGCGCCUUUGUACUUCCAGCAUGAUGGCCAUUCAAGAACCAUUGUUGGGAUUCAAAUGAAAUGCCAGAGAAAUGGACCGAUGCAGUACAAUCUAUUGAUCUUAGAUCCAGGUCAUACAACAGAAUCCCUGGCAAAAUCUCUUAAAGGAAACUUCGGUUGGCAAAAGCUAAUAAAAAGAGGUGUACACACUCUGAAGAAGCCAUUAUAUCAGUUAUGUUUUCUUGAUCCUGGAAUUGCUUCUGGGGAGGAGAUUGAGAGCCUAAAGAAUCUACACAGCAUCCGUGUUGAAGCUUCGUCCUAAAAUCUCAAGGAUGUAUAAUAUGCAACUAGAAUUUCAGACAGUUAUUUUAAAGGGGUGCUCUUAGCUUUGGCACUAUUUGAAGCUAAUUAAAUAAUUCAACACCUAUCAAUCCCAUACUGGCCCUAUCUGUUUUUUUUCUUCACCAAAUGCAACAGUGCUAUGACCAAUAAGUUAAUAGUUUACAUGAGGGUGAA